UACGGAGGGGGCUAACGUUGUUCGGAAUCACUGGGCUUAAAGGGCGCGUAGGCGGGCAGGCAAGUCGAAGGUGAAAUCCCACGGCUCAACCGUGGAAGUGCCCCCGAUACUGCCUGUCUCGAGGGAGAUAGGGGCGUGCGGAACUUCCGGUGGAGCGGUGAAAUGCGUAGAUAUCGGAAGGAACACCGGUGGCGAAAGCGGCGCGCUGGAUCUCUUCUGACGCUGAUGCGCGAAAGCCAGGGGAGCAAACGGG
rnacentral:rRNA from 1 species